rnacentral:ncRNA from 1 species
AAUAGACGGAACAAAUGAUCGUGAUCCCGCGAGGGUGAGCGAACUCCAAAAACUCAUCCUCAGUUCAGAUUGUAGGCUGCAACUCGCUUGCAUGAAG